ensembl:lncRNA
GCAAAAACACAUUUCAAUGACCACAGACAAAAUGAGUUCAUCCUCAUGUGUCUAGACAUGUAAGAACUGUUGGUAUAUUGUAUGUGCAUACAACCUCCUGAUGAACAGUACCAGAUCUGCAGGCAGCCCUCACUGCUCUCAUAUAUGGAAAACAAAAUACUUGGCGCUGGUCCACAGACAACACUGAGGCCCAUUAUCUUCUGCAGGCUCGCUAAGGCAGCUUUAAACGGGACGUUCAUGCAGGCCUCUCAGGCUGACCGGCUAUUACGGCAGGUACCCAGAUGCUCCACAUGUCCUCCCCAUCUUGCCAUCGCUUUCAUCAUCUCGUGCACUUCAAAUCCCCAAAACCAGCUCAUCCACCUUACGCUCUCUCCUCGGUUCUACCUCUCCACCUUCAACUCCAUCCUCCUCCCAGUUUCACCCUCCCUCCUGCUUUUUCCUCUAUGCAUACAAAAGCCACAUGGAGGGUCUGCUUCUAAUCCCUACAUGCUGGGGUCUCCGUUUGUUUUGCUUGUUCGGGGACCCCACAAUGCAUUUUCCAAUGCCCAGGACCCACUGAGUGCAGAUUUAAUUAGAUGAAGCCAACGGUGGAUGAAGCUGGAGAAUUGAAAUUGGACAUGGGGGUUUUACAAGGAGGGCUGGUUGGUCCUCGGCACUGCGGGGGCCCGGCCCAACAAUGCACUUCACACUGAGAGAGGCAAUGAGAAAAGUCGAAAAGAAGUAGGAAUGAGAGUGAAGAAUGGAGAUGGCAUACUUAACUCUACCCUGGUAGUCACUAAGGGUGUGCGUGGCUAUUGUUCUCCCAGUCUACAGGCUGCCGGUGCCACACCUCGUCAUGCCAAGUGAGCCUAGAGGCUCUCAGAUCGAGAACUCAAAUAUACCACUUUUUUGAAACGAAAAACCUUUCCUUGAAGCUUUCAGUGUGGAUAAAGGGAUUAAUCAAUGAAGUUAAAGAUAAGGUGCCUCUAUAUAUUGUUUUAAUCGGACAAUCCGCAAACUUUCAACCUCGAAAAAGCAGCGCACAAAAUCCCCCCCCCGUACUUUAUCUAUUCCUUAAAACAUGAUAUUUGUUGCAUUUUCCUGUUUAUUCUUCAUGCCUUCAAUGUGUAAAACACUAAAGCAAACACUAACCGUUUACAUACGGCUGGCCACAUAACAAAGAACAACUAACUCUCUACCAGCAAUAAAGCAUAAAGGCUAGAAUGCCAUAUAAA